UGUUUCUGGUAGUUGUUAUUA
rnacentral:piRNA from 1 species